GGCAGCAGUGGGGAAUAUUGCGCAAUGGGCGAAAGCCUGACGCAGCAACGCCGCGUGCGGGAUGAAGGCCUUCGGGUUGUAAACCGCUUUCAGCAGGGAAGAAGCGAAAGUGACGGUACCUGCAGAAGAAGCACCGGCUGACUACGUGCCAGCAGCCGCGGUAAUACGUAGGGUGCAAGCGUUGUCCGGAUUUAUUGGGCGUAAAGAGCUCGUAGGCGGUUAGUCACGUCGGAUGUGAAAACCCAGUGCUUAACACUGGGCCUGCAUUCGAUACGGGCUGACUAGAGUGUUGUAGGGGAGACUGGAACUCCUGGUGUAGCGGUGAAAUGCGCAGAUAUCAGGAAGAACACCGGUGGCGAAGGCGGGUCUCUGGGCAACUACUGACGCUGAGGAGCGAAAGCGUGGGGAGCAAACAGGAUUAGAUACCCUGGUAGUCCACGCCGUAAACGGUGGGCGCUAGGUGUGGGGAACAUUCCACGUUCUCCGUGCCGCAGCUAACGCAUUAAGCGCCCCGCCUGGGGAGUACGGCCGCAAGGCUAAAACUCAAAGGAAUUGACGG
rnacentral:rRNA from 1 species